rnacentral:lncRNA from 1 species
AAAGAGUACAAGAGAAAAAGGAAAACGAAAGGAUAUUGGAGAAAGAAAGAGAACUUGCUGAGGAGAAGGAAAGAAGGAAAUUGGAGAAAGAAAGAGAACUUGCUGAGGAGAAAGAAAGAAGGAAAUUGGAGCAAGAAAGAGAACUUGCUGAGGAGAAGGAAAGAAGGAAAUUGGAGAAAGAAAGAGAACUUGCUGAAGAGAAGGAAAGAAUGAAAGAGAAGGAAAGAAUGAAAUUGGAGAAAGAAAAAGAACUUGCCGAAGAGAAGGAAAGAAGGAAAUUGGAGAAAGAAAGAGAACUUGCUGAAGAGAAGGAAAGAAGAAAAUUGGAAGAGGCAGAAAGGGAGAGGGA